CCCUUAGAUGUUCGGAGCUGCACGCGCGCUACACUGAAGGAAUCAGCAUGUCUUUCUCCUUGUCCGAAAGGACUGGGUAACCCGCUGAACCUCCUUCGUGCUAGGGAUUGGGGCUUGUAAUUCUUCCCCAUGAACGAGGAAUUCCCAGUAAGCGCGAGUCAUAAGCUCGCGUUGAUUACGUCCCUGCCCUUUGUACACACCGCCCGUCGCUACUACCGAUUGGAUGGUUUAGUGAGAUCCUCGGAUUGGUCCCGGAGCGGCCUCUGGUCGUGCCGGAGUGCCGAAAAGAAUGUCGAACUUGAUCAUCUAGAGGAAGUAAAAGUCGUAACA
rnacentral:rRNA from 1 species